rnacentral:rRNA from 1 species
AAUUCUGCUUCGGGGUUCGACUAAGCCAUGCGAGUCUAUGGACUUCGGUCCAUGGCGGACGGCUCAGUAACACGUGGCUAACCUACCCUCGGGUGGGGGAUAACCUCGGGAAACUGAGGAUAAUACCCCAUAGGAGAAGAGGUCUGGAAUGAUCCUUCUCUGAAAACAUAUGUGCCCGAGGAUGGGGCCUGCGUCUGAUUAGGUAGUUGGUGGGGUAACGGCCCACCAAGCCUACGAUCAGUACGGGCCUUGAGAGAGGCAGCCCGGAGAUGGGGACUGAGACACGGCCCCAGGCCCUACGGGGCGCAGCAGGCGCGAAACCUCCGCAAUGCACGAAAGUGCGACGGGGGGACCCCAAGUGCUUACGCACUGCGUAGGCUUUUCUAAAGUGUAAAAAGCUUUAGGAAUAAGGGCUGGGCAAGUCCGGUGCCAGCAGCCGCGGUAACACCGGCGGCCCGAGUGGUGACCACUUUUAUUGGGCCUAAAGCGUCCGUAGCCGGUCCAGUAAGUCCCUGUUUAAAUCCUACUGCUUAACCGUAGGGCUGGCAGGGAUACUGCUGGACUUGGGACCGGGAGAGGGCGAGGGUACUUCAGGGGUAGCGGUGAAAUGUGUUGAUCCCUGGAGGACCACCUAUGGCGAAGGCACUCGCCUGGAACGGGUCCGACGGUGAGGGACGAAAGUCAGGGGCGCGAACCGGAUUAGAUACCCGGGUAGUCCUGGCCGUAAACUCUGCGGACUAGGUGUUAGGUAGGCCCCCGUGCCUAUCUAGUGCCGAANGGAGGCCGUUAAGUCCGCCGNCUGGGGAGUACCGUCGCAAGACU